ACAGCCAUCUCACAUUGGAACACAGGUUCUUGUAUGAUCACUGAAGUUAAGCAAUAUCAGUCCUGGUCAGUACCUAGAUGGGUGACUGCUUGGCAAUCGCAGGUGCUGUAAG